GUGGGACUUGCAGUCUCCGGUUCACAGAGUAACGUUGUUGCUUGCUGGCUUCUAUGGGAAAUGUAGGCAUUGACAAUGUUGUGUUAGGUAUAGGCCCGUCGUCCGUCACCAAUCAACCCGGUCCUCUCGCUUGCAUUGGUUGGCUGCUGUAUUAUGGGGAUGUCGUCAGCGUCUGGAGAGGGUCUUCAGGGGACACGUAGGUGUCGGGGUCCUCCUCUCCAAGAGUUUUGGGUUUACACUUCCCACAGCAGCAGUUGAAACAGCAGCACAGGCAGCAGCAGAAGUAGCAGCCUGUUAGCACGCCGCAGACCGCAAACAGGCCCUG